rnacentral:RNase_P_RNA from 1 species
CAGAAUCGCCCAGCGUUUGGUAUACCUGUUUGCAUAUUUGCUGGUGAGUCAGAAUUUCAUUAUUAUACAUAGUCAGUAAAAUUCCAGCCAGGCGCAACCGUCAGCCGAGCGAGUCGAAGGGUAAGGGUGAAAAGGUGCGGUAAGAGCGCACCGCGUUCGCCGUAAGGCGGAUGGCAGGCUAAACCCCGCAUGGAGCAAGACCAAAUAGGGAGGCGUUAUCAGGACGGCCCGUCCGAAGCCUCCGGGUAGGUCGCUGGACCCCGCCAGUGAUGGCGGGGCUAGAGGAAUGGUCGUCGCCUGGUUCGGCGCUUUCGGGUGCGGGGCCGGGAACAGAAUUCGGCUUAUCGUCCCUCUGCGGC